rnacentral:rRNA from 1 species
GAUGAACGCUGGCGGCGUGCCUAAUACAUGCAAGUCGAGCGAACAGAUGAGGAGCUUGCUCCUCUGACGUUAGCGGCGGACGGGUGAGUAACACGUGGAUAGCCUACCUAUAAGACUGGGAUAACUUCGGGAAACCGGAGCUAAUACCGGAUAAUAUAUUGAACCGCAUGGUUCAAUAGUGAAAGACGGUUUUGCUGUCACUUAUAGAUGGAUCCGCGUCGCAUUAGCUAGUUGGUAAGGUAACGGCUUACCAAGGCAACGAUGCGUAGCCGACCUGAGAGGGUGAUCGGCCACACUGGAACUGAGACACGGUCCAGACUCCUACGGGAGGCAGCAGUAGGGAAUCUUCCGCAAUGGGCGAAAGCCUGACGGAGCAACGCCGCGUGAGUGAUGAAGGUCUUCGGAUCGUAAAACUCUGUUAUUAGGGAAGAACAAAUGUGUAAGUAACUAUGCACGUCUUGACGGUACCUAAUCAGAAAGCCACGGCUAACUACGUG